UGGGACUACUGUGAAGAAGAAAUGAGCCAACACAUGCGAAGCACAAAGACCAGAAACGGGCUCAGGGAACGAACUUCACUGUUUUGGUUAGCACCUGCCAGGCCUAAAGUCUUCCAGGCGCUCCCUCUUUCCACGUCAUAAACGAAGCUGCAAUUUCACAUUUAUCACAUAACUCUCAGAGCAGUGUCUGUCUCUUCCUCUACUGUAGACUUCAGGAAGCGGGAAUCACACCUGUGGCUGCCUCUCCUCGCACGGUGUUGGGCGAAGAAAAGCACCAGCAUGUCUGAAGUAACUAAGAGGAAUGAGAAGACACCACUUACAUUGUCCUUCAGGUUGGAAUGGGACCAUCCGACAGGAGGGAUCUGAAACACUGGGAAGAAAGCAGCCCCCAGGCCUGCACUGGUCACAGAAUGCCCAUCCUUUGACCUCAGCCAUUCAGAAGUCAUCAGUUUCCAGCAAGUAAGACCCAGCAGUACCCCCCUCAGACUUCCAUCUUGGGAGCUCUCUGCCUCUACUUCAUUGGAUGUCGGGCGGAGACUGGAGACCUUGAGAUUCAUGUGCAAGCAUGGAAGUAUGAGCGAGUUAUUGUCCCACAGAGCAAUCCUUGAUGAAUGGGGGUCAGAGCAAGUGGAUAGACAUCUCCUCUGUGUUUGGGGUGGGCAGUUCUGAGGCCCAGUCUACCUGGCUCUUCAGAGGGUCCUGCGGGACGGGGGCUCGGUGCCUCGAUAUUGUAUCCUUGGGGAAGCUGUCCUUCUUUUCUUGGUUCAUUCUCCCAGUGGCUCACUUCUGUUUUGUGGAUUUGCCGGGGUUCUUGUCCCAGCAUCAAGAAGGGUUC